CGGAGGAGCGCCCACCCGCGUCGACGCAGGCGUCGGACCUCCCGCCCGCUCCGGGUCCGGGGGGUGGGGAAGGAGACCGUGUGAGGUGCGUGGGUUCUCAGUCCUGCUCCCGGCCAGGUGCUGGUGGUUGGCCCAGGCGGUGGCCGUGUCAAAACAUUAUAGUGACAUCCCUGACAUAUCCAUUCCCCCUGAGGUCGACUGUGCGAGAGGCUGAUCUCACAUCAUACACAGGAGAAGCCACAGCAGAAAAGGACUUUUGCCUCCUCUGUCUGCCAGGUAUCAAGACACAACUCGUGUGUCUUCUUCAUCAACAUUCACAAGACCCUUCAGUCAGAAGAGAUGACUUCAUCCAUGUGCCUCUCCUGUGCCUUGUACUUCCCUAUUUUGAGAGUUUUCCUACAGUAUUUUAGAAGACUAUAAAAGAAAAGCAAUGAAAGAUUGACUGACUUCAGAUUGUGGAAAUGUGUGUGCUUUUUCUCUUUAUUUCUAUAUUUUCAAAAUUUCUUAUAGUGAUCUUAUAUCACCUUCAUAAUAUAGUAAAAUGUUAUAUAAAACAUUAGAGCAUAUAUAGAUACUUUUUAAAUGGAAACACACACAAACAUUCCUCACUAGAGUAAACUCCUUGUAUACGGACUUGUUUCAUUUUUUCUUUUCCUUAUUUUUUAAAAAAAAUUAUUUUAAAAUUUAUCUCUAUUUCAACCAGGAGACAACUGAUUAAAUUAUUAUUAGAAAUUAGUAGCAUAUUAUAUCAAAAUGAAACAGUAAAUAUAACUCAGCAAAUUAGAUUUUUAAAAGCAAAUGAAAACAUAAGCACGGCUAGCUUAACAUGAAGAGCUAAAGAAAAAAUGACAUUUUAAAAAUUUUCUCCUUACAUUUUUGAAAUACAUCUGGACCUUUGUUAUAGCAUACAGCAUUUUGUUGAUAUUAAACGUGUUCUGUACUUAGUCCAGUUUCUAAAUUUGCAAUUUAUUUUGUACAAAGCACAUUUGCUUGCUUAUGUGUUUUAAAGUUCAUCCGUUUCAUAAUGUUUUA
rnacentral:lncRNA from 1 species